rnacentral:tRNA from 1 species
AUCUAAAUAGCUUAUACAGAGCUUGGCUUUGAAGCUGCCAGGGAGAUUAUUUUUAUCUUUAGAUA